UCAUACUAGAAAGGACUUCCAAUUAUAAUGGAGUUAUCAAUUAUAGUAAACUUCUAAUCUGCUACAAGUUUUGUUUGACAAGUAAGUGAAUUUCAGCUGUCAAAGUCUUCACAUGAAAAAGCAUCCACUCAAAUGGAAUUCCUGGAAAUCCAUUUGGAUCCUGUUCUCUGAUAUCGCCCACAAGAUGGAAUGACUACAACACACCCCCGGAAACCAAUGAGGUGACCUGGCACGACCUGAAGAAACAGAUUCACAGACUCCAAAGCUCACUCUCUACAGAAAAGCAGAAUUCUGGUGGCCAAUAUUCCCCAUCGAGACAGACGUGCAGCGUUUCAUCCUCCAGCAUUUUCUUCUGUGGUCAGCUACUGUGGACUGACACCUCCAUCGGACUUACUGGUACACGCUGCUGUGUUUCUCAAAGACUAACUUCAGCCAAUUGCCUUGAGACUUUAUAGACCAUGUCCCCUCGCCUGCAGGCUCUGUCCCAGAAGGCAGGAAACUCCCUUUGAGGCAAGAGAUGCCCCCAGAGGCAUGAAGCAUUCCCAGAGGCAAGAAAUGCCCUUUCGCCUGCUAUGCCUUGCCCUUUGAGGCAAGAAACGUUCCCCUUGGCAUCACACUGGUUAUUUCUGCUCGCCUA